GACGAACGCUGGCGGCGUGCUUAACACAUGCAAGUCGAGCGGUAAGGCCCUUUCGGGGGUACGACGAGCGGCGAACGGGUGAGUAACACGUGGGUGACCUGCCCUCAGCUCUGGGAUAAGCCUGGGAAACCGGGUCUAAUACUGGAUAUGACUCCAUGACGCAUGUUGUGGGGUGGAAAGCCUUGUGCGGCUGAGGAUGGGCCCGCGGCCUAUCAGCAUGUUGGUGGGGNGAUGGCCUACCAAGGCGACGACGGGUAGCCGGCCUGAGAGGGCGACCGGCCACACUGGGACUGAGACACGGCCCAGACUCCUACGGGAGGCAGCAGUGGGGAAUCUUGCGCAAUGGGCGAAAGCCUGACGCAGCGACGCCGCGUGAGGGAUGACGGCCUGGUGUAAC
rnacentral:rRNA from 1 species